GAUGAACGCUGGCGGCGUGCCUAAUACAUGCCAGUCGAGCGAACAGACGAGGAGCUUGCUCCUCUGACGUUAGCGGCGGACGGGUGAGUAACACGUGGAUAACCUACCUAUAAGACUGGGAUAACUUCGGGAAACCGGAGCUAAUACCGGAUAAUAUAUUGAACCGCAUGGUUCAAUAGUGAAAGACGGUUUUGCUGUCACUUAUAGAUGGAUCCGCGCCGCAUUAGCUAGUUGGUAAGGUAACGGCUUACCAAGGCGACGAUGCGUAGCCGACCUGAGAGGGUGAUCGGCCACACUGGAACUGAGACACGGUCCAGACUCCUACGGGAGGCAGCAGUAGGGAAUCUUCCGCAAUGGGCGAAAGCUUGACGGAGCAACGCCGCGUGAGUGAUGAAGGCCUUCGGAUCGUAAAACUCUGUUAUUAGGGAAGAACAAAUGUGUAAGUAACUAUGCACGUCUUGACGGUACCUAAUCAGAAAGCCACGGCUAACUACGUG
rnacentral:rRNA from 1 species